CAGGCCGGGCAAAAGAGCAGCAUCUCGGCGCGCCCCGGACGUCCGCCUGCGCGAUGGAAGCUACUUCCGGUUCCGGCCGCGCAAGGAUCCAGUCACGACGAUGAUGCUGGAGGAGGAGGAGGAGGAGGAGGCGCACGCGGAGGCGGUGGCACGCUGGCAGGCCGGCCUGGCGCGACUCGUCAGGGACCCGCUCCUCUGCGACCUCCCGGCGCAGGUGACCCCCGAGGAGAUCUGCUCGCAGGUGGCGCUCGAGUACGGCCAGGCGAUGACGGUGCGCGUGCGCAGAGUCGACGCCCCCGAAGUUCCCAUGCCCGUGGUUGUGGUGCAGAGCGCGAGCGUGCUGGAGCUCAAGAAGGCGCUGCGGCGGUUCGUGCAGCUGCGGCAGGAGCGCCAGGGCGGCGCGCGGCACAUCAGCUGGAGGCACGUCUGGCGGACCUACAGCCUGACCUUCGGCGGAGAGAAGCUGGCGGACGACCGCAAGAAGCUGCGGGAGUAUGGGAUUCGCAACCGGGACGAGGUCAGUUUUGUGAAAAAGCUCCGGCAAUAAACUCGCAGGCGACCAUCCUGGUGCUCUUUGGGAAUUUGUCUGACCCCUUCUGGGGUCUUUGAGUAAACCUCUUUAAAAAGGCUCUGUAGGAGGGAGCAGAGAAGAAGCCACUUCAGAUCUCCUUCGGUUCUGCCCCCCCCCUUUUCUUUUCUUUUCUUUUCUUUUUUUUUAAACAGUGACUGAGAAUCCACAUUUGAAAAGGUGCUGGAUCUUUUUCUGAAUACGAAGAUAUCAGUGAAUCUGAAGCAAAGAACAGCCAGCAACAUUAAAGUUUCUUAAAUUGUGAUAAAGUACACUUAAAGUU